rfam:Lysinibacillus massiliensis 4400831 = CIP 108448 = CCTG 49529 contig4, whole genome shotgun sequence.
CAAUUAAACUAGUGAUAGUUCGAUGAAUCGUGAGAAGUCAGCAGACGUCAUAGUAGUCUCCCUUUCGGGUGAUGAAGGAC